rnacentral:lncRNA from 1 species
AGCAGAAGGGCAAAACCGUCCACAAGGAGUUGGCGUGCAUCAAUGGCAUAAAGCUUCUCGAAAAAGUACAUUUCUGUCCCCAGUUUUUUCUGAUCCACUCUAGUAACACCCCCACACACGGACCCUAGUGAUCUACUCCACGCCCCACCGGCAUCCCCUAUGCCAUCCCUUUCUUCUUCCCAACUCCCAGCACGCACGCACACCAACGCUUCUCUCUCUUCUGCUGGAUACAGAAAAAGCAGAGCGACAACUUCUUCAGUAUUUUCAGCCCCCCAUACGAACAGAUAAAGAUACACACAUAUACACACACAAGCGUAUAGAAAGAAAAGGGCGGGUGAGAUCUUGAAACUUGUGAGUUUAAGAAGAGAUCUUGAAAAAUCAACAGGAGUUAAAGCAAAGGCGGCUGAGUGUAAUUUCGGGGUAGUUGUGAAAUUAUGUUCCAAAACAAUGGCAAUG